GACGAACGCUGGCGGCGUGCUUAACACAUGCAAGUCGAACGAUGAAGCCGGAGCUUGCUCUGGUGAAUUAGUGGCGAACGGGUGAGUAACACGUGAGUAACCUGCCCUUGACUCUGGGAUAACUGCUAGAAAUGGUAGCUAAUACCGGAUACGACCCUCGGAGGCAUCUCCAGGGGGUGGAAAGAAUUUCGGUCAAGGAUGGACUCGCGGCCUAUCAGCUAGUUGGUGAGGUAAUGGCUCACCAAGGCGACGACGGGUAGCCGGCCUGGGAGGGGGACCGGCCACACUGGGACUGAGACACGGCCCAGACUCCUACGGGAGGCAGCAGUGGGGAAUAUUGCACAAUGGGCGCAAGCCUGAUGCAGCAACGCCGCGUGAGGGAUGACGGCCUUCGGGUUGUAAACCUCUUUUAGUAGGGAAGAAGCGAAAGUGACGGUACCUGCAGAAAAAGCACCGGCUAACUACGUGCCAGCCGCCGCCGUAA
rnacentral:rRNA from 1 species